UUUCAAUGAAUUAACCCACUGAUGUCUGAUUUUACUCUUCCUUCUCUCUCUCAUCUGUUUUACUCUUCCUUAUUCUCUCUCAUCUGAUUUUACUCUACCUUCUUCAUCUUCAAUUUUCAUUCUCUUCAAUAUUUCCUGACCGUUUCUUCAACUUCAUCUAAGUUCUUCAAUUUCUUUAGUAGUUCAAGGCCACAUUCGAUUUUUCUUCGAAGCUUUUUGGAUCGUCCAUCUUCUUCAUCUGGGAUGUGUUUAUUUUGUGUUUUUUUAGUUCGCUAAUAUUGAGUUCGCUAAAUUUGAUAUUGUUUUUUUAGGUUUUAUUAUGCAAUUUUUUGAGUCUUUAAUGUUUGUCAUUGAGUUUUUAAUUUGCAUUUUUAAGUUUACUCUGCUUUUUUUAUCUUUGAAGCUUUUGGAUUUUUUGUUGUUCCAAUUUUCAAUUAAUGUUGUGUUUUUAGGGUUUAUUCUGUGAUUUUCUUUACUGAUUACGCUUGUCCUUCAAUUUCUUCGAUAUUUCAAGGCUAAAUUCGAUUUUGGAUCGUCCAUCUUCUUCAUCUGGUAUGUCUUCAUUUCUUUUUUUUUUGAGUUCGCUAAUUAUUUUUAAGCUUGUUCUUCGAUUAUUUGGUUUUCUUAGGUUUUAUAAUGCAAUUUUUGAGUGUUUACUGUUUGUCAUUGAGUUUAUAGUUUGCAAUUUCAAGUUUACUCUGUUUUUUUUUUCUUUGAAGCUUUUAGGUUUUUUCAUGCUCCAUUUUUUGAUUAUUCUUGUGUUAUCAUCAUCAUCAUCCUACCUAGUAUAUCCCGCUAAUAGAAAACUAAGGCUAGGGUCUGGGGAGGGAAAGACAGCCGCAACUCAUACCCAAAAAGGAGCGUGGCCAAAGGAUUCCCCCGGCUCGAGGAAGAUAAAGAGAUGUAAUAACACGUGAAAGAUAACUUAAAGGCCUAUAAAAAUAAAAGAAGGACCACUACAAAAGAAAAAAAAGAACUAAUAGAAAGGAAACGAUAAAAGCAAGAGGUUAAGGACACUAAAAGGUAAACUAAGAGGACAUCAGUAAUCUAAAACAUGGAUCUGGCGUCUCCAAUUGCUUCUAUCCCUAGUCAGGUCCGCAGAGAGGUUUAACUUAUGCAAGUCAACUCUUAUUUGCUCAGUAUUUCAAGGCUAAAUUCGAUUUUAUAUACUGAUUACGCUUGUUCUUCUAUGUGUUUUAUCGCCUGUUUUUUGGAUAUAGUAUGUGAUUAUUGCGUUUUUACGCUAUAUAAUCUACAUAAAUUCUCUUGGUUGGAAUGUUUUCUUCGUGUGGAUAAAUAAUCAAUUACACCAGUGGAAAAAAUCACAUUUGCUACGCAACAUUGGCUGCGGUUUUACAAAAAAGCAGCAUAAAAUUAUUUUUGAAAAAAAAUAUUAAAUAUAUGUUGCGGUUUUCCCGUUUCCCACAACAAUUAAUUGAAGAUUCAAAAGCAUACGCUGCGGUUUCUUGUUGCCCGCAGCAAUUAGUUAGUAUAUGCUGCGGUUUCCUCUUAGCCCGCAGCAACUAAGCAUUAAAAAAUGCCGCCUUUUAACGUUAUACCCUUAAACCCACACGAAGAAUUUUCAUAAAACACUCAAAAAUGGCUGCAACUAUUUCAUCUUCUUCUUCACGCUGCUAAUUCUUGUUUCAUAAACCCACGACAUAACGGUUACUUCUUGUUCACUUGAAAAAUACUCGAAAAACCCAUUGAAACCCACGACAUUUUCUUGUUCACUGCUACAUCUUAUUCAUAAACCCACAGCUGUAACUGUUCAUAAACUCAAAAUUUAAGACUUUGGUCUUGUUCAUCUUCAAAACCCACGAAAUUAAGUUCUUAUGGCAAAAACAAGAGGUGUCUUAACUUCGAGGACAGGCCGUCAACGAGGUAGUAAAAAUACAGUUGAUAAUCCCUCCACCUCUACUGCUAUCACAAAUUUGAAAAUUAAAAAUGUCAACACAAGAAAGAGGAAGGGUCAAGAAAGUGACAGGGUCCAAUAAAGGCCUAAAAGGAUCUAAUCAUCAACACCGAGCACAAACUAGCCCCUUUUGUUGCAUACAUUGCUCACCUAAAUGCUGAGGGCUCAAAGAAGUGAAACAUCAUGAGCCAAGCCAUAAGAACAAGCCAAAAGAAGCCAAAGUAGACCAACUCGACCAGAAUGUGCUCGAGCCAAGGUAGCUCAAGCAGUCCAGGAGCAUGUACUUGAGAUUAGAAGCUAAGUAUCACAUUCCUAAAGGUCGCUCGAUUGGUCAAGCAAGUUGGCUCGGGUGGAGCGAAGUGCAUUCAAACUUCCAGUAGCUUUUGAUCAUUAGCAUGAUUCAAUUCAGGAGUACAGGACAUCCGCUUGACUGGUCGAGCGAGAUGGCUCGAGAUAGCUCGGGUCGAGUGGAGCUAAUUGUCAUAUUCUGUCCAAUUUUUGAAUUUUCUGAUGCUGGACCUGAUGGUGACCGGACUGGUCGAGCGGGCUCCGCUCGGGUCGAGCGAGAUGGGCGGCAGCAGCUUUUCUGAUCUUUUUAAAUAUCAUUUGAGGUCCAAUUACAUUUAUUGCUUCAAUUGCUGCAGCCAAGACUGCCAGCCACCUACCCUAUCCAUUAGGGGUGCCCCCCCCCCCCCCCACUUUGUUUUUGAAGUCUGUAAAUAGAGUAGAGGAAGAUGGAGCUAGGUGUAACAACUCGACUUGUCGUUGACUGAGUAAACAGGAUCAUCACGGGGUUUAUAAUCCAAGAAAACUGAUAUCACACUUUUAAAGCUUGAGUAAAGGGAACACCAGCUCUUUAACGUAACUAACUCAGGUAUAUUUCAAAACAAACAUCUAACUAAAGCAAAGGAUGAUCAUACAAUUCACUACAAGUCCUAAAUAACCAACACAGCCAAAUCAAAUUUACAUUUAUCAACAAUUUCUAAUACAAAUCUAUAAUUCCUAAGUGCUCAGCUCAGUUUUAUAUCCUUCGAAUCUGUAUUCACCUUUUGCUAAUCCAUUAUUUCCUACUGGUCCUGAUCUGUAAACAAGCUAAAGGCUGGAAACAACAGAAGGUCAGAUUAAACUGAAUAAGAAGUAACAAUCCAAAACAACAAAACACAGUAAUUCAAAUCAUAGGUUUAAAAGAAACAUCAGUUCCCUAGAUCUUUAUGCGC